ACAAGUGUGUUUUGUGAGUGUGGGCGCGCCUGCGCGCGCUGGGGACCGAGACGCUGCACGUCCCCUGUACCGGAACCAAUACUCGCCGCCCCCUGCGGUCGCCCCCUGCGGAGGGGUGUGUGUUUGUGUGUGUGUGUGUGUGUGUGUGUGUGUGUGUGUGUGUUCGCGCGCGCGCGCACAGCGACUCAGCCCUCCGCACGCCGGGUGACCCGGGACGCGCGGCUGCCCCUGCGGGUCCGGGAUCCGCGCCCACUCGGAGGAACUCCAGGGCGUGCGAGGGUGCAGCCCGGCAGGAGCCCCAGCUCUGCAAACCUCCCUGGGGCCCGCGCUCGAAACCCCGGGGAGGAGCGGCCGAGUGCACGGCUUCUCUGCAUCCUGAGCAGCCUCGCCCGGCGCCACCGGAGCCGCCCGGCGCCCCGAGCCGGGGGACGACCGGAGCGCGCCGGGGGAGGCGGCGCGGAGCCAGCAGCCCGGAAGGCGAGCAGGAGAAACGCCGAAAACUCGUCUCUCCCUCCUCCGCCUGCACCUCGACUCCACGCCACCCCCCCAAAAUCAAACCCCCUUCCCCGUCUCCCCAGCCCACCUCUCUGCGCUUUUUCAGAACCCGGAACGCUCAGAUUCGCUCCAGAGUGGAGAGCGAGGGGAAAGGGUUCAGAGGCGAGAGCCAUUAAAAAGCCACCAAACUUACCUGCAAUUUCUCAGAUUCCCGGGUCCUGUGCAGACUACAUGGCCCGGGGACGCAGACCUCGUAGGAACAAGAUGGCUUUAAAAGUAAAAAAGUUCAGAAAUUAUUUCCUCUCCAAGCGAUGGAAGACAAAAAAGGGGAGCGCGAAAGAAUGGAAAAUGCUCCUCGGCAGGGGCCGGGCGAGCCGGCCCUGCACGCCCUUCUCGGCGGUGGAGAUACUGCCCCUGUCAGUGUCUGCUCUGGCUACUUCAGUGUUUGUUCAAUGUGCGAUUAAAAAAAAAAAAAGUUGGGGUGGGGGGGGAGAAGGUUGGUGUGGAGGAGGGAGGAGGGAGAAGGGAGGAGGCGGGGGCUCGGGGGAGGAAAGCAGGAAGGAAGUUGUGAGCCUGUCUGGGGUUGAACUCAGCGGAACAAGUUUUUCUUUUCUUCUUUUUUUUUCUAUUGCUUGGCAAGACCGAGGGAGGGAAACACUUAAAAAAAAAAGUUUCCAUUGUUAG
rnacentral:lncRNA from 1 species